CUGAUUAAACAAUACUAUUUCGUUCUUUUUUGUUUCCUUUUUUACUGCUAAUGUAAAAGAGAAAUUAUAUAUGUACCUAUUUUUGGUACAUAAAUAAUCCUAUCACCUUUUUCGUGAGCUGUGAGCUGUGAGCUAGGCAAUAGUUCUUUAACAACAAAAAAGAAUUGCACAAACUGUAGACGACUUUUUUGCCUCAGGGUGCUGUAAACAUGAAAGUAAACUUUGUUUUACGAUCUGUUGAGGCUUAUCCCUAGUGGUAAAGUGUUUUUUGAAAAAUAUAAUAAUAGUAUAUAAAUAUGUUUUGCAUAUUUUUAUAUUAUUAUAUAAUUAUAGAAAUAUUUUAUAAAAUAUUUAUUAUGUAAAGUAUUUUUGAUUCAUACUUUAUUAAUUUAUAUUUUAUAAAAAUAAUAACAAUUUUAAAAUAUCAAAAAUUUUUUUAUAUGAAUGGAAUUUUUUCUAAGUAAUAUUUUUAUCUUUAUCUUCAAUUGUAUUUAUAUAUAAUUGCAGAAGUUAUAAAUAUUAUUUAUUAUAAAUUCUAUUUUUUAUUUAUAUUUUAAGUAUAUUAUUUUAUAUUCAUAUAUUAUAUAUAUUCUGUUUUUAUUAAUUAUAAUAAAGAAUAUGUUAUAUGAAUAAAAGUAAUAAUACUGAAAAGAACAAUUUUAAUAAUAUCAAUAUUUUAUAAGUUUUUUUUUUGAAGGUCCAUUUUUUUAUGUUAAUUAUAAUAUUAUAAAGAAUUAAUGCAUUAUUUUUAAUUACUUUUUUUCAUUUUAUAUAAUUAUAUAUUGUUAUUUCUUCUAUUUGUUUUUGUAUUUUUACUAUUAAAUUUAAAAUUUCUUUUUUUUUUUAUUCUGCAAUGUAUUAUUAUGUAUAUUGAAAUUAUUUUUAAAGUUUUUGAGUAAUUUUUAUUUUUUUAUUUCUUUAAUAUUUUACUGUUGGGUUUUAUAUUAUUUAUUUUUUAUUUAUAAUAUUUCUUAAUAAUUAAAAUAUUUAUAUUAUAUUAAAUGAUCACUUUCAUUUUUAUUCAAUUUAAUUCUCUGUCCCCCCCUCUAUUAUGCUAAUGUUUUCUUCAAUUUUUUCUUAUUUUAAUUAUUGAUAAAAUAUGAAGCUUAAUUUUUACAGUGGUUUUCCCUUAUUUUUUUCAACUUCAAAAAUAUAAAUAAAAUAUAUAUUUUAUAUGAUAUAUAUAUUAUAAUAAUAUUAUAUACUUAUUAUUAAGUUCAUAAAAUUAAACUUUAUUGUAUAAUUUCUUUUCCAAUAUAAUAAUAUAGAAAUAAUAUUAAAUAUAUUUUAAGUUUUAUAAAGUCCAUUUAUUAACAUUAUAUAGAAAUAUAAUAUAUAUUCCCUUUCAAAAUAAGUUAUGUAAACAAUUUAUUAAUUAUAUAUAUGUAUAACAAUUAAUUAUAAUUCCCAAAAUAUUCAAAAGAAAUUAUUAAAAUUAAAGUUUUGUAUUUUUUU